rnacentral:rRNA from 3 species
GACCCCAGGUCAGGUGGGAUCACCCGCUGAGUUUAAGCAUAUCAAUA